GAAAGUAGAAGGCAUUAAGGGGUUUUAAGCAUUGGGAGGGAGGUAGUUUGGGGACCGUGUGACGUGAGCAGAUUUGCAUUUCAGAAUGGUCAUUCCAGCUGCAGUGAGAAGGGGCUGGAGGGCUCAGGGUGGAUGUGGGAGGUCCAUCAAGGAGGUAGAUAUUGCCUCCAUUCUGAGCAAGACACAUGGAUGCCAACUUGGACUGGGAGCUGAAAACGGAGCAAAUGAACUGACCAAGCCAGUUUACCAAGGCAGAUGGAUGGGUGGUGCCAUCUGGAAAGAUGGAGCACUGGAAGAUGAUUGGAUUUGGGUGAAAAGAUCCUGAGAUCUGUUUGGGACAGAAUGGGUCUAGGGAGCCUUUGAAGCUUCCAAGUGGAAAUAACAGUGAUGGAUGGGUCUGGGAUGGAGACAUGCAUUUUGAGAGUCAUCUGCACACAGACUGCAAUGGAAGAUAUGGACAUGAACCAGAUUGCUUCAUAUCACCACUUAAAGCCACCUUCUCUCUCCAGUCACUCCACCUGUGCCUGCCCCCCAUGCAGGGAGACAGGUCUCUGCUGCCUCACAGUGACCCCACAGGCCCCUGUACGAGCUCCUGCUGCUACAGUGCCUCUUGUAUUGUUUUACGGCCACUCGCUUACAUGUCCGUUUUCCCCACUUAUGAUCCAGGAACACCGUGAGGACAGAGACACAUGGCUCUCCUUCUGAUGUCCUCAGCACACAGAGCACAUCCUGACCCUUUUGUGAGCAGUAAGUUACAGGCCCACUUUUCCGACCCACCACAAAGCCCCAGUGCAAUGUUCCUCCAGAAAGAGGUGAAAAUGCUGGCCCAGACCCAAGAGCCUCAUCUAAAACCCAGUCUCAGAGUCCUCAGAGGGGAAAGUAUCUCACUUGCACAUAGAAACCAAGAUGGGCACUGAAGAAUUUUAAAAAGAGAAUGGUACUGAUGUUUUCCCACUGUUACUACAGAUAAGCAAGCACUCAGGGAAUUUAUGGGAGAUGGAUUGACAGGUAGAGAAAUGGGUAAGCUCGGUCCUCAAGGAGCUUCCAGUACCAUCUCUUACUCAGAACUCGCUGUGCUCAUUAUAAGUCAAAACAAAGUUAUGUGUAUUUCAUGUGCAAUAUCUACAAAAAGUCAAAGCCUCAGUCCUCAAGGAGCAUAUAAUUUCAAGAAAAUAUAGAACAAACAUAGAUGAAAAUUUAACUCUAUCAAUACACACAGAGCCACCCCUACCCUCUCCAGUGCCUUUUUCUAAUUAGAAAAAGGUGCCUUUCCUCUAGGCAGACAUGGCACCUCAGUCAGCAGGGUAUGUGACUUGGCUGGAUUCUGGAUUUAAGCCCAUGUCCCCCUACACUGACCUGACAUCUUUGUGCAGUGCACAACCUGCACAACACAUAUAUGACAGGAGUAGCAGGUGCUGAUAACAAGGAGGGAUUGAUAUAGGAUGGAUGAACAGAGACUAGCUAGAACUGAUUGGGUAAGAACAGAAGAAACAACUACAAGGAAUGCCAGAGGCAUAUCCAGUGACAAAUCAGAUUUGACCAAGGCAAAGGGUACACUUGAUGGAGUAAGGAAAUGAGAUUGGGAAGCUUAGUUGGGAAGUAAUUAGGGAAGGCCUCAAACACCAGGCUAAGGAGUUUGCACUUGACCUUGCAGGAACUGACCCCUGCCUAGGGUCAUUAUCCUCCUUUCACCAAAGUAGUGCCACAGAGCAUUGGCUGCCAGUAUCAAUUCUCACCAAAGAAAGUGCCCACUUGCACCCUGAAGGUCAUGAAAGAUACCAGGUGACAAGAAAACAACUAAAUAUCUUUGUGCUGACACAGAACCCCUAAUAAGGUCUAAUCCCUUGCAUUUGUAGCCUGCAUAAAAAUAUAUGUUUUAUAUCCAAUAUAUUUAUUGUUACAAUAGUCUCCUUUGAUUAACAGGAUAAGAAAGCAGGGCAAUUAAGGACCUUGGUGAAAGUCAAAGAAAAAAUCCACAGGGGCAAAGCUGUGACUUGAACCCAGGUCUAUCACUCAGAAUCUGAUGCUCAAGGGCACUCAGCCUCCCUGCACUUGCCUCAGCAGGGUCCCUCUCUCACCAGUCACCACACUGACUACUUGAGUUUGCCAGCCCUGGGUCCUUUCCAAGAAAAGACAAAGCUUCCAAACAAGCAGUAAUGACAUUGAUUAUUCCAAGCCAGAGGCAGGGGAUUCUGGAUCAUUUCCUUAAAAUACUUGCUCAGCAGCACCCGGGUCCUCACCCCCACCGCCCCUGGUCCCAAGAAAGAUAUGUACAGUACUUCAUUAACAUGAAGGGGAGAAUAAUUCCCUGUGGAUUUUUGCAGUCUCAUUUCCCUAGCUUGUCAAAUGCCAGCAGCAAGCCAGUCUGGCUGCAUUGUUAGCUUGGCUGCCUCUUAUUUUUGUAGUGUUUUGCAGAUUGCAGCAGCUUUUUUUUUCCAGCUAGGUGAAAACAUAUCACCUUUAAGCUUCCUGGUGUAUCACUCAAAAGAUUUUCCUAUUCUCCUUGGACUUCAUAAUACAGAAUUCUCUUCUGCUAUCACAAGCCAUUUUUUUUUCUCCAAGAAAGAACAUAACAUUUAUUUUUAAUACCAUACUCCAAGAUAUGUGAUCAAAAUGUAAUUUAAAAAAAAAAACAAAUAAAUAAAAGACUUUCCAAUAUGUCACGCAAAAAAUAAAAGACAUGCUGUUCAAAAGCUAAAUUUCAGUCAUCGUAUUUACAUUCCUUUUUUUUCUGCUUCACCCUUUUGUUACUAAGGAAGUUGGAAUGAAAGGGGAUUUGUCUCUUUUUCUCAAAAACCCAUCUCUCGCUGCUAAGUUUCUCCACACCUGAAUUCACACAUCUCCCACAUCAUGAUAAUUACCUCCAUGGUAACCACUCAUGACAUCACAAACACAAUGUGAUAGCAGAAGAAAUAAGAGCUCCUGAGACCCUGCUGGAUACAAAUGCCCUGUACGACCUAAGGGCCUCCACAGCAGGAACAAAAGGAAUUUUGUCUGAGAUUUUAGCAGAAAAGUAAUUUUUGAAAUCUAUUCUUGGAUUUAGACGUUUAUUGGAUUUCAAAGCUUCUUGCUGCCCAGGAGCUUGUGAAUACGGUCAAAGGUCCAUGAAAUUUCCAAAGUGGUACCACAGCAGAUGAACCUGAAUGCAAACUGGAGGGACCAACAGAGUCCAGCCUAUAGACAUAAAUCCUUAACUACACCUAGAUCUCACUGUCUUUUCCAAUGGUCAAAAGAGGGGCUCUUGAAAUGGCUCCAUUGUUUUAUAGAAACAAGGUCUUCCUAAGAAGUCUUUUUCUCCUAUCUUUUUCUUACCCAAAAUAAAGGAAUGGCCCAAAACCUCAAGCCAAGCUUACCAGCUAUAAACAACUUGGUGGUCAGCAGCCAAAAGAAGAGUGGACAUGCCAUGGUCAUGUGGCACGUACCCUAUACAAGCUUCACAGAGAAGAAUGGAAGCACUUGAUUGUAAGACAGAGGGUGAGAUGUGAGAGGAAUAUUAACCUUCACUUUCCACAGGCAUUUUUUUCUGCAAAUGGCACCAGCUUUUGGACUUAAAAUUUUAUUCCAAAUACUAUUUAGAUGCAUCAGGGCCCUCAAAAUAUGGAUUUCAAGUUGGAGACAUCAAAGUGCAUUAUUUACUAAAACCACUGCAGCUUUUUUCCCCUCUCCUUUCACAAGAUGCUAUUGUAAAUUCAGGCUGCUUUAAUCUCUGUGAUUAAAAAAAAAAAGGAAGAAAGAAAAAAAAAGUGCUGCUUGAAGAGGAACUGAACUCACAAUCUGGGAGCUAGAAAGUAAAUAUUACCCAGAGAGUACCUCACUUUAAUUACUGGCCUGAACAUUGGUUUCAAUUUACAUGUAUUUUAAUUAGCCACAGAAGGGUUCACCUAUUACUCUCUGAAUACAAAACUUAAAAAGCAAACAGAAAAUAGGGAAAGAAAGGCUUAUUUAAGGGCCUCCAAGGAUUAAUCUUUGCAUUCUUCUCAUUUUUUCCCCGAAUUUGGGGAUAAAAUUUGUCGCAGGGAAUUUGAUCUUAGGGAAACAUUGAGUUUGGUUUGUGAACACAAGCUACUUCUGAACACUAUUUUAGCAAACAGAAUUUUAGAAGCAUAAGGCUCUAGCAGAGGGCUAUACAGAAUUUUGCAUAAACUAAAUAACAACCGUUUCCUCCUGAAAUGCAGGAAAUCAAGCUGCACGGGUAUGUUUGCUGAUUGGUCCUUAGGUCUUCAGCAAAGCUUGGACCACUUGGCAAAGUCUUCUGUCUCCAGAGGAAUGAUGGGAAAACUAUGGGACAAAAGUCAGGAGAGUGGUGCUGGCUGAUCCUGGCCUGGACAUUGACUCCCUGGGGACUUUGGUGCUCUCUCGUGCUCUCUCUGUCUCCAGUGAUAAGCUGACCAGAUGCCUUGAAUUAAGUACAGUAUGCAGCAAUGCCAGCCCUGGACUUUUCCCCAACCUAUCACCCAACCCACUUACCUGGAGCCAAGGGUCACCAACAUCUCUAAUAGAAUCCAACUGUGGAAUAGAAAAACUAUUUCGUCUAAGAAGUGGAUCCUAGCUGUCAAAUAAAAAAUCGCUGUUGAA
rnacentral:lncRNA from 1 species